CGGGACCAGGGCCUGGCCCCGGGAGGAGCCUGCAAUCCAACCGAGCCAACGUGUGACCCUUUUCAGAACUCAGUUCCAAUGAUUCCUCUGAGAAGCCUUCCCUCCUGCAUCCCAUCAGCAAUGGAAAAAAUAUCCUCAGGUGAGGAUUAACAAACAACAAAAAUGUUCCAAGAAUCCAGAUUAGGAGAGAAAAAGAGUCAAGACACAUAACGUGGUGCAAUGCAUAGUUCUUGGCUAGGAUCCCAGAUUGGACAAAAAUUACCUCUGAAACUUCUUGGGACAGUUGGGAAAAUGUGAAUAUCGAUUUGUAUGAGGUCAAGGACAUAUUAAUUUUAAGCGGUUAUUUUGGCAAUGUAUAAAAUGUUGAUUUUUAAAAUCUAUGUACUGAAGUAAAAAAUUAAAACAACCAACUUGCUCUUCCACUCAUACUUUUUACCUUACAAGUUUAGAAUGGGCCCUGGCUGGUGAGGCUUGGUUGUCUGGGUGUUCUCCCAUGCACUAGGAGGUUGCUGGUUCUAUUCCUGGUUAACAGCACACUCCGUAGGGGGUGUACAGGAGGCGGCUGAUUGGUAUUUCUCGCAUG